UAGUACUAGUUAUACAGUCUAUCAACUAUAGCUUCAAAAUGGUUUAGAGCUUCAUCGUCAUUCUGCACUUUCUUCGUUUUUUUAGGACUCCUGGACCCUUGAAGAUAUCACUUUUUUGGCAAGUAAAUAUAGCAGAGGAGAGAUUUUUUUUUUUGAAGCUAUAGCAGAGGAGAGAUGAGAUAUCCUUAGUGGGUUUCUUUUAAUAUUCCAUAUAGCCCAUACGCGGAUUAUUGACAAUGAUAGAGAACCC
rnacentral:lncRNA from 1 species